rnacentral:rRNA from 1 species
GUGCCAGCAGCCGCGGUAAUACAGAGGCCUCGAGCGUUAGGCGGAAUCACUGGGCUUAAAGCGUGUGUAGGCGGGUCGUUAAGUGCUUUGUGAAAUCCCCUGGCUCAACCAGGGAACUGCUCGGCAUACUGGCGAUCUUGAGAUACCUAGGGGCAACUGGAACAGACGGUGGAGCGGUGAAAUGCGUAGAUAUCGUCUGGAACGCCAAUGGUGAAGACAGGUUGCUGGGGGUAUUCUGACGCUGAGACACGAAAGCCAGGGGAGCAAACGGGAUUAGAUACCCCGGUAGUCC